UAUAUCUUGCCGCCGGGUAAGAAAACCGAACGUUGGAUUCGUAUCAGUAGGCCUUUGAAGAUACGAACUUCCAGCGUUUUUUAUUUG
rnacentral:ncRNA from 1 species